UGACUCCAACAAUUCGGUGCUGCUUUUUCAUCCCUGUGCUUCUGACACCCAGAGGACAAGAGACACAGAGAGGAGGAGGACACAGAGGUUGGAGUGAUGUGGUCACGAACUAAGGAACUCACAGAGCCAGCAGAAGCUGAAAUAGAGAAAACAAAUGAAGAGAAAAUGUGGGAAAGUGAGCUGGUGCUGAAUGGCAGGGAUUUACCCAAACGGCUGCCCAUCAGUGAGGCUGACAAGUAGGACGCUCGCCUGUGACUGGCCUGACACAUGUCAAUAGUCUUAAAUAUUAUUUUCUACUGUGUGAUUCCCUGAAUACAUUUUAACAAUAUUUGUAUUUGAUAAAAAUAACUUUACAUUAGAUGGCAGUAAUACCUGGGUCAAAAAAUUUUGGUUUAGAGAUUAAAACGAAUAAUGAUAAAUAUUUUAACAAAUCUUGGAAAAUUGUCUUUCCUGCCUAUCGGAAUUACGAUUGUCUGGAAUAUU